GUCGAACGGCAGCGCGGGUGCUUGCACCUGGCGGCGAGUGGCGAACGGGUGAGUAAUGUAUCGGAACGUGCCCAGUAGCGGGGGAUAACUACGCGAAAGCGUAGCUAAUACCGCAUACGCCCUUUUGGGGAAAGGCGGGGAUCCUUCGGGACCUGUCACUAUUGGAGCGGCCGAUAUCGGAUUAGCUAGUUGGUGGGGUAAUGGCUCACCAAGGCGACGAUCCGUAGCUGGUUUGAGAGGACGACCAGCCACACUGGGACUGAGACACGGCCCAGACUCCUACGGGAGGCAGCAGUGGGGAAUUUUGGACAAUGGGGGCAACCCUGAUCCAGCCAUUUCGCGUGUGCGACGAAGGCCUUCGGGUUGUAAAGCACUUUUGGCGGGGAAGAAACGGUGAUCUCUAAUACAGGUCAUUACUGACGGUACCCGCAGAAUAAGCACCGGCUAACUACGUGCCAGCAGCCGCGGUAAUACGUAGGGUGCAAGCGUUAAUCGGAAUUACUGGGCGUAAAGGGUGCGUAGGCGGUUGCGCAAGACAGAGGUGAAAUCCCCGGGCUUAACCUGGGAAUUGCCUUUGUGACUGUGCGGCUAGAGUAUGUCAGAGGGGGGUAGAAUUCC
rnacentral:rRNA from 1 species